rnacentral:rRNA from 1 species
AUUGAACGCUGGCGGCAGGCUUCACACAUGCAAGUCGAGCGAGCGGCGGACGGGUGAGUAAUGUCUGGGAAACUGCCUGAUGGAGGGGGAUAACUACUAGAAACGGUAGCUAAUACCGCAUACCAUCAGAUGUGCCCAUAUGGGAUUAGCUAGUAGGGGGGGUAAUGGCUCACCUAGGCGACGCUCCAUAGCUGGUAUGAGAGGAUGACCAGCCACAAUGGACAUGAGACACGGUCCAGACUCCUACGGGAGGCAGCAGUGGGGAAUAUUGCACAAUGGGCGAAAGCCUGAUGCAGCCAUGCCGCGUGUGUGAAGAAGGCCUUCGGGUUGUAAAGCACGUUCAGCGAGGAGGCGUUACUCGCAGAAGAAGCACCGGCUAACUCCGUGCCAGCAGCCGCGGUAAUUC